rnacentral:rRNA from 1 species
GGAUCCAGACUUUGAUCCUGGCUCAUGACGAACGCUGGCGGCGUGCUUAACACAUGCAAGUCGAACGAGACGAUUGAAAGCUUGCUUUUGAAAGUCGAGUGGCAAACGGGUGAGUAACGCGUAGACAACCUGCCGUAAAGAUGGGGACAACAGUUCGAAAGGACUGCUAAUACCGAAUGUUGUAGAGUUUCCGCAUGGGAAUCCUACUAAAGGUGGCCUCUACUUGCAAGCUAUCGCUUUACGAUGGGUCUGCGUCUGAUUAGCUAGUUGGUGGGGUAACGGCCUACCAAGGCGACGAUCAGUAGCCGGUCUGAGAGGAUGAACGGCCACAUUGGAACUGAGACACGGUCCAGACUCCUACGGGAGGCAGCAGUGGGGAAUCUUCCGCAAUGGGCGCAAGCCUGACGGAGCAACGCCGCGUGAGUGAAGAAGGGUUUCGACUCGUAAAGCUCUGUUGUCGGGGACGAAUGUGGAGAUGGUGAAUAACCAUUUUCAAUGACGGUACCUGACGAGGAAGCCACGGCUAACUACGUGCCAGCAGCCGCGGUAAUACGUAGGUGGCGAGCGUUGUCCGGAAUUAUUGGGCGUAAAGGGAGCGCAGGCGGGAAGGUAAGUCUAUCUUAAAAGUGCGGGGCUCAACCCCGUGAGGGGAUGGAAACUAUCUUUCUUGAGUGCAGGAGAGGAAAGCGGAAUUCCUAGUGUAGCGGUGAAAUGCGUAGAUAUUAGGAGGAACACCAGUGGCGAAGGCGGCUUUCUGGACUGUAACUGACGCUGAGGCUCGAAAGCGUGGGGAGCGAACAGGAUUAGAUACCCUGGUAGUCCACGCCGUAAACGAUGAAUGCUAGGUGUAGGAGGUAUCGACCCCUCCUGUGCCGGAGUUAACGCAAUAAGCAUUCCGCCUGGGGAGUACGGCCGCAAGGCUGCAACUCAAAUGAAUUGACGG